rnacentral:rRNA from 1 species
CCUACGGGUGGCCGCAGUGAGGAAUAUUGGUCAAUGGGCGGAAGCCUGAACCAGCCAAGUAGCGUGCGGGAUGAAGGCCCUACGGGUCGUAAACCGCUUUUGCACGGGGAUAACACCCUCCACUUGUGGAGGUCUGCAGGUACCGUGCGAAUAAGGGCCGGCUAAUUCCGUGCCAGCCGCCGCGGUAAUACGGAAGGCCCGAGCGUUAUCCGGAUUCAUUGGGUUUAAGGGGAGCGUAGGCGGGAGUUCAAGUCAGCGGUAAAAUCGCGGGGCUCAACCGCGCCCCGCAGUUGAAACUGGAGGUCUUGAGUGGGCGACAGGCAGGCGGAAUGCGUGGUGUAGCGGUGAAAUGCAUAGAUAUCACGAAGAACCCCGAUUGCGAAGGCAGCCUGCCGGGGCGCGACUGACGCUGAGGCACGAAAGCGCGGGUAUCGAACAGGAUUAGAUACCCGUGUAGUC